rnacentral:rRNA from 1 species
GACGUAGGGCGCGAGCGUUGUCCGGAUUUAUUGGGCGUAAAGAGCUCGUAGGCGGCUUGUCGCGUCGACUGUGAAAACCCGCGGCUUAACUGCGGGACUGCAGUCGAUACGGGCAGGCUAGAGUUCGGUAGGGGAGACUGGAAUUCCUGGUGUAGCGGUGAAAUGCGUAGAUAUCUGGAGGAACACCGGUGGCGAAGGCGGCAUCCUGGACCGAUACUGACGCUGAGGAGCGAAAGCCAGGGGAGCAAACGGG